CUGCCUCGCUACCUCCUCUAUGUCCCGUCCCUAAACAAAUACUAGAAGACGAGGAAAAGGAGCCUUGGGUCUGGGAGCAACAACCAGAGGGAGAGAAAAAAGUUCGAAAUGAAAGGAAGGCUCACAGGGGGAUAAUUGUAGGGUGCACUGCAUACGAGAAAAGCUGCGAAAGAGGAAAGGAAGAGAAUUCAGGAGAGUGGGAGAAAGCCUUAAGGACAGACUAGUAACUUUUGCUUGCUGUUUUAGGUCACUGAUUUUACAAGUGCGAACAGUUCGAUUGUAGAUGGAGUUCAGUUUUCUCACUUAAUACUCUGUAAUUUUCAUUUCUACUUUGGAUUGAUCCCAGUUUCUUGUUAACAUUUUAAAGCUUCUUUCAGGAAUAUUGCAGGUUUUCGCUGGCUGACAGUUUUAGUUUCCAUUUCCCAAGUCAUCACACUUUCACAGGCCCCCAAAAGCACCCCCCUGUCCCCACUAGCCCUGGACUGGCAAACCGAAAGGGCACGCUAAGCCUCCAAUUUUACUACGUAUUGCGGGGGCUCCAUAUUUCGGUUUUGGAGUCUUUAAACGAACUCAACUUUUAACUAUUUGAUCUUAACAGUAAUUGAUGUUAUGUGAAUAAGCGGACAGUCUUGCUACACCUCAGUUUUGUUGAAAUAGCAUAAAAUUUUGAGAUAAAUAUGUCCCCCUAGCAAGUGAGCUAUUGAACCAGACUCCAUUCUCUCUUCUGUCCUUUCUGUGCCGUGAUGCUUCGUGAGACACAAGCUUUUAGUCUGGCUGCUGUUUAUCUUCUAUGCUUGGCACUGGGAAAAACCAAUAGACCUAGUGGCGGGAGACAUCGCAAGGGCUGAAAAUUCGUCGUUCAGAAAAUGUUACCCUUGUGGAAAAUGUCUACAGAGGCAGCUGAUGCAUCCCCAGGGAGGAACAUCAAAAGUUGCACAAAGUUUCCACUACCUUUGAAAGUGAUACCACUGAAAACCGGAGAAGUUAAGCAAUUUAAUCAAGUUCACAGAGUUAAGUUCCUGAACUCAUGAGCAAGAAAUGUCAGAUGAUCUUUCAUGUCGUUAAAUUGAAUUGAAUCUGAUCCCAAGCCUCUUCUUGCCAGCUGAUUUGCCUUCUUCCUCUUUUUGACUCUGGUAGGCUGGCUGAAAACGUGCGGAACCGAAAGUGAAGAGGGUAGAAGAGGAGCCACUUGCAAUUGGCUCAUAGACUAUAUGGUUUGUCGACGCUGAUCUAAAGCAUGGUGAUUGCAGAAAGAAGGACCAAGAUGAUGGUACGCUGUGGCAUUUCAGUUCGGGAAUAUUUCAAUUCCGUAAUGAAAUCACCAUUAAAGUCUGAGAGGUCUAGCUUCUUGAAGUGGUAUCUAUAGAUUUACUGAGUUGGCAUUCCUUUUUAAAAAUAAAACUUAUUUUAACCUUGCUUAGAUUUCUUUUUUCUUAAGUUAUCUUAAUGUUAUCAUUGGCAUCUUUUUUCUUUUUAGGAGAGAAAACUGAAGAAUUAGACAAUAUAUAGGGUUUAAAUACCACUUUAUAUGCUUUCUUAAAUGCAAAUAUUUCCAAACCUUUGACCCUCACACCCAUUUGUCUCAUUGCUCAUCUAUGCCUCUUGAAAACCCCGAUGAAAUGCCAGUAAAAGAAUUUAAAAAGCUGCAAACCCACAAGAUUGUAGAGAACUGGAGGAGACAAAUUGGUGGGCAGAAUUCUAAACAUGUGUUUGGAAGAUGGGAAGCAAAGCAGGCGUGGGGACUCCCUUGGAUUAGCGGGGGAGGCUAAGUGGAAAGUGCCUGUGGAGGAGGGCAGCAUGAGAAAUGAGCCAAUCCUGACCUCCAGUUGCAACCUUUUGGGGAGACUCGGCACUUGAAGGCACCAGUUAGCAAGGAAGGCUCCUGUAGUUCCGUGUUUGGGAAAUACAAGUAUAAACAUUAAGAAAUGCUUCAACUUCAAUACAAAGUGCGGAAUUUUGGCCUUUGGAAUAUAAGGCCGUUUCUUGGAGGCCACUGAAGUGCAAUGGUCUUUAGUUAUUCACUGGCUGGAAGGAGGAGAUUUGCACACACACUAGAGAGUGCACAGAGGAAAGACCGAGAAGGUGGAUAUCCACAAGCAGAGGAGAGAGGCCUCAGAAGAAACCAGCCCCGAUUGGCACCUUGAUCUUGGACUUCUCCCUUGCAGAUCUAUGAGAAAAUAAACGUCUCCUGC
ensembl:lncRNA